CACAGGAUGCUCUACACCCUCACACCGCGGUCCAGGGGGCUGCCUUCGGGGCACACAGAUGCCCGCUUUUCCCUCCCUCGCUUGCUCACAGGAGGCCUCCGUGAAGGCUGAGAAAGGCCAGCCCCGGGAUCACCGCUCCCUGGCUGCAGGGAAGGCGCAAGGUGGGCGCCCUGGCAGGCCUCUCAUGGUGUUGGGUGGUAAGAAAUGUGGAGAGGUGUGAAGAAUAAGAGAGAGGACUGUGUGGGCCGGCCAGCACAGUACGGCGGUGUGUCGGUGGGUGGUUCUGCGAACUGCCUGGCUUAGUGCCCGCUCCAUGGUCUUAGCCUGGAUUUAUUCUCACUGUAAACACACCAAAAGAUCUCAAAUUUGAUUCUACCCUGCUUAUCAGAGGAUCACCCACAAGCGUUUCUCCAACCUCAUCGAGACCUGCAAGCAUUUGGACCCUGGCUUUCCCCAGCAGGCACACAUCCCUAGUAAAUGAAGGUUGUACUCAGUUUCCCACAAACAUUCCUAACCUCUUUGCUCCACCCACACGCACCUACCUGGGUUUCAUCAACUACCCUAGCCUCUGGGAAGCCCAACCAUCCCCCUGCUGUCUGCCUGGGUCAGAACAGCUGAUCAGUGCUAGAGAAUGAGGGGAUUGGUGUCUGUAUAGGCUGAGGUCUGUGAAUUUCAACUGAGCCUUCAAUCCUG